GUAUUUAUGAAGUUACAUCCGGGAAUUGUUAAACUCCCUGCACGUUGUGCUUAUUUGUAAUUUGAACAGUCACUUGAACAGGACUGCAUACGGUAAUAUCAAAAAGACACGAGCAUGGGUUUUAUUAUUCUUCUCUUGACAAUACUGGUGCCAUUUUGUCUGGCCGGUGAAUCUUGUUCAAAAGAAUCAUGUGACUGUGGAAUAGAUGGCAAGUGGAAGAAUGAACUUGGAUCUACAAUGACCUUGUCCUGCAAGGAUGGCCAGCUUGAGGGUAUAUACAACACAGCCGUCGGACAAGCCGAAAACGACUAUAUUUUAUCCGGCAGAUACACACUUUCUGGACC